rnacentral:rRNA from 1 species
CUCAUGGUUUCACGGUAUUGCAAUGAGAACAAUUUAAAACCCUUAGCGAGAAUCAAGUGGAGGACAAGUCUGGUGCCAGCACCCGCGGUAAUUCCAGCUCCACUAGCGUAUAUUAAAGUUGUUGCAGUUAAAAAGCUCGUAGUUGAACCUCUGUCUGGGGCUAGUUUUGGCUUUGGUCAGGCUAGUUCUAGGCAUCCGCCUACGAGACUUAGAGGGCAUUCAGUUGUUCACUAGGAGGAGUAGGCAUUUUACUUUGAAAAAAUUAGAGUGUUUAAGGCAGGCAAUCGCCCGCGUAUAUUAGCAUGGAAUAAUAGAAUAGGACACUUUUCCAUUUCGUUGGUUAUUGGAAUCGUGUAAUGAUUAAUAGGGACAGUUGUGGGCAUUUGUAUUUAAUUGUCAGAGGUGAAAUUCUUGGAUUUACUAAAGACAAACUAACGCGAAAGCAUUUGCCAAGGAUGUUUUCAUUAAUCAAGAACGAAAGUUAGGGGAUCAAAGACGAUCAGAUACCGUCCUAGUCUUAACUAUAAACUAUUCCGACUCAAUGUUUGACUGGCUUAUAUAACCAGUUGAGCGUUGUAUGAGAAAUCAAAGUCUUUAGGUUCUGGGGGGAGUAUGGUUGCAAAGCUGAAACUUAAAGGAAUUGACGGAAGAGCACAACCAGGAGUGGAUUCUGCGGCUUAAUUUGACUCAACACGGGGAAACUUACCAGGUUAAAACAAUAGUGGGAUUGACAGUUUGAGAGCGCUUUCUUGAUUGGUUGGGUGGUGGUGCAUGGCCGUUCUUAGUUGGUGGAGUGAUUUGUCUGCUUAAUUGCGUUAACGAACGAGACCUUAACCUGCUUACUAGACUGGCGAUCAUCAAUCGUUAGCUCUUCUUAGAGGGACUUUGGUUGUUUUAACUCCAAGGAAGUUUGAGGCAAUAACAGGUCUGUGAUGCCCUUAGAUAUCCUGGGCCGCACGCGUCAUACAAUGACUAGUUCAGAAAGUUUUCUCCUGACCCGAAAGGGGAUGGGUAAUCUUGAUAAUACUAGUCGUGUUAGGGAUCGAUCUUUGCAAUUAUAGAUCUUGAACGAGAAUUCCUAGUAAGUGCGGUUCAUCAGACCGUACUGAUUACGUCCCUGCUCUUUGUACACACCGCCCGUCGCUUCUACCGAGUGGGUGGUCCGGUGAGAUAAUUGAACUUCGCAGGUAACUGAGAGGAAAGAUUAUCAAACCUAUCCACCU